AAUCAACGCUGGCGGCGUGCCUAACACAUGCAAGUCGUGCGCGAAAGGGGCUUCGGCCCUGAGUAGAGCGGCAAACGGGUGAGUAACACGUGGGUGACCUGCCUUCGAGUGGGGGAUAACGUCCCGAAAGGGACGCUAAUACCGCAUGACAUCCUGCCUUUGGACAGGCGGAGAUCAAAGCCGGGGAUCGCAAGACCUGGCGCUUGAAGAGGGGCCCGCGCCUGAUUAGCUAGUUGGUGAGGUAACGGCUCACCAAGGCAACGAUCAGUAGCCGGCCUGAGAGGGCGGACGGCCACACUGGGACUGAGACACGGCCCAGACUCCUACGGGAGGCAGCAGUGGGGAAUUGUUCGCAAUGGGCGCAAGCCUGACGACGCAACGCCGCGUGGAGGACGAAGAUCUUCGGGUCGUAAACUCCUGUCGAGCGGGAAGAAUCCCUUCCUGGUGAAUAUCCAGGGAGGUUGACGGUACCGCUAAAGGAAGCCCCGGCUAACUCCGUGCCAGCAGCC
rnacentral:rRNA from 1 species